GGAUAUGAUUAAGAGAAUUCAACAAAAUUGCCUAUCUUAAGGGAGCAUUCCCAUACAUUCAACUCUACACAAUUUCCAUUUCUUUGAUCCCCGUCUUUUUCCUUUUCUCAUAUUUAUCCACACAACCAUGAGCCUUUUCUUUGUUUUUUCUAUCUUUUCUUUUUCUUUGCUUUAUGGUUUCAAGGGUGAUUUCUUUUUCUUGUUUCUUUUUAUAUUUUCACCCUUUCAUAAAAACUCACUUUUCCAAGUUUCUAAUCAACUCUUUUUUUUUAUUACUCUCCCCAACUUU
rnacentral:lncRNA from 1 species